rnacentral:rRNA from 1 species
UACGAAGGGGGCUAGCGUUGUUCGGAAUCACUGGGCGUAAAGCGCACGUAGGCGGAUUUUUAAGUCAGGGGUGAAAUCCCGAGGCUCAACCUCGGAACUGCCUUUGAUACUGGGGAUCUCGAGUCCGGGGAGAGGUGAGUGGAACUGCGAGUGUAGAGGUGAAAUUCGUAGAUAUUCGCAAGAACACCAGUGGCGAAGGCGGCUCACUGGCCCGGUACUGACGCUGAGGUGCGAAAGCGUGGG